UUCAUGUGGAUGGAUGCUUUGCCUGCACGUGCGUAUGUGUACCACAUGUGAGCCUGGUACCUACAGGGGACAGCAGAAGGUGUCGGUUCCCCUGGACCUGGAGUUACAGAUGGUUGUAGGCCAGCAUGUGGGUGCUGGGAAUCAAUCCCACAUUCUCUGUGAGCGUAAGGAGAGCUGCCGAUGGUUAAGCCAUUCCUUGGCACACUUCCAUGCGCUUCAACGGCUCUUUUCUGUCUAGUGAGACUCAGGAAGCAACACCAGACCUCCACCGUGGGACAGUUCUACAGAACCUACCAGUUGUGUCCCGCAGAUGCCUCCAUGUGCCUCUAGCAUUGUGACCAGACUCAGGACCACCCUGCCCAGGGAUAAGUACAGCAGGCUGGGCCCUACCACAUCAAUUAACAAUCAAGAAAAAGCCCCAUAACCACCCCUGACCAGGUAAACACAAAGCCAAAAAGGCCACAGGAC